rnacentral:snoRNA from 1 species
ACCCUCCAGAUUCCUUACCCCUCCGAACUAAGUGUUGGACCGAGUGACUGAAAAAGGAGGUAAAGUAAAACUGAAAUGGACUUGGAGUCUUUAAGGACAUACAAGUUCACCUCAAACAAAC